AGCAGCCGCGGGUAAAUUCCAGCUCCAAUAGCGUAUAUUAAAGUUGUUGCAGUUAAAAAGCUCGUAGUUGAAUUUCGGAAUCUGUCCGUUGGUCGGGCUUCAUUGUCCGUACUGGUGUGAUGGGUUCUUACCUUCUGAAUAACCAGCAUGCCAUUCUAUUUGGUG
rnacentral:rRNA from 1 species